CCCAUAACCUACAUGCCACAUGUUUAACGAAGUUUGGUAAAAGCGACAACUCAUAAGGUCCCAGGAAAGCCUUGCGGUCCAGCCUCAAACUCCAUAGUAAGCUCCCUUGAGCCUCAAUCUCCUGCUGGUAAGGCUGCUCAUAUUAAGGCUGAUACGUCUCAUGCUGAUGUCAAUCCCUUCACAACAUCAUCCGUAACAAGCUAUUAUCAUCACUUAAGUCACAUAGUGUGAGUUAACUCACACAGGGGCAUUAUCGUCACUUGAGUUGGGAAGGAAUGAAUUUUGAUGGGAGAAGGCAUCGGCAUAAGAUUUAUAAUCGUAUCGUCUGGACAGUUAUCUUCUUCAUGAUCGCCAACGUCAUGCCAAUAUUGUUAGGGGGAUUCUUCAUGAUCGCCGAUGCCAUAGUAGCAACCGCCGCAACAGACGACGGCCAUGUGAUCCCACAACCACCAGUAGUAGGUGAUCACCCUGGAUGUGCAAGUUCUGAUUCAUUCAAACCACCAACACCAACUCUACUCCAAUGUUAUUUACACUACCUAAACCUAGCGCUGCACGCACAAGUUUUUGAGGUCGGCAGCGUUUACGGCGAACCGUGUGGUCCGGCAUAUGACCACAUUAAAAACAAGAUUCUUUUCCCCAUUCUCCCCAAGAUCAGACCUCUUCUCUCCCGUGGUUAGCUAAGCUUUGUUUGGUCCAUUGUAGUUUCUUUUUCUGUUUUCUAUUCAAAUUUCAAUAAUGAUCACAUGCUUCACCCUAUAUUCUUACUAGUUCUUGUUAUUAAUAGGCAUAACUGAAGUUUAGAUCAUUUCGAACAAAAUUUAUUUAUUCAUUCAAAUGUUCAUUGAUUGGUUGUUUACUUUCUCUU